UACAGAGGUCUCGAGCGUUAGGCGGAAUCACUGGGCUUAAAGCGUGUGUAGGCGGAUCGGUAAGUACCUUGUGAAAUCCCACAGCUUAACUGUGGAACUGCUUGGUAUACUGCCAGUCUUGAGCCAGCUAGGGGCUACCGGAACAAAUGGUGGAGCGGUGAAAUGCGUAGAUAUGUGGAGGAAUACCGAUGGCGAAGGCAGCCCCCUGGGAUGGACACUGACGCUCAUGCACGAAAGCGUGGGGAGCAAACAGG
rnacentral:rRNA from 1 species